rnacentral:rRNA from 2 species
GGGGAUUAGUGGCGAACGGGUGAGUAACACGUGGGCAAUCUGCCCUGCACUCUGGGACAAGCCCUGGAAACGGGGUCUAAUACCGGAUACUGACCUGCCAAGGCAUCUUGGCGGGUCGAAAGCUCCGGCGGUGCAGGAUGAGCCCGCGGCCUAUCAGCUUGUUGGUGAGGUAAUGGCUCACCAAGGCGACGACGGGUAGCCGGCCUGAGAGGGCGACCGGCCACACUGGGACUGAGACACGGCCCAGACUCCUACGGGAGGCAGCAGUGGGGAAUAUUGCACAAUGGGCGAAAGCCUGAUGCAGCGACGCCGCGUGAGGGAUGACGGCCUUCGGGUUGUAAACCUCUUUCAGCAGGGAAGAAGCGAAAGUGACGGUACCUGCAGAAGAAGCGCCGGCUAACUACGUGCCAGCAGCCGCGGUAAUACGUAGGGCGCAAGCGUUGUCCCGGAAUUAUUGGGCGUAAAGAGCUCGUAGGCGGCUUGUCGCGUCGGUUGUGAAAGCCCGGGGCUUAACCCCGGGUCUGCAGUCGAUACGGGCAGGCUAGAGUUCGGUAGGGGAGAUCGGAAUUCCUGGUGUAGCGGUGAAAUGCGCAGAUAUCAGGAGGAACACCGGUGGCGAUGGCGGAUCUCUGGGCCGAUACUGACGCUGAGGAGC